AACGAACGCUAGCGGCAGGCUUAACACAUGCAAGUCGAACGCCCCGCAAGGGGAGUGGCAGACGGGUGAGUAACGCGUGGGAAUCUACCCAUCUCUGCGGAAUAGCUCCGGGAAACUGGAAUUCAUACCGCAUACGCCCUACGGGGGAAAGAUUUAUCGGGGAUGGAUGAGCCCGCGUUGGAUUAGCUAGUUGGUGGGGUAAAGGCCUACCAAGGCGACGAUCCAUAGCUGGUCUGAGAGGAUGAUCAGCCACAUUGGGACUGAGACACGGCCCAAACUCCUACGGGAGGCAGCAGUGGGGAAUAUUGGACAAUGGGCGCAAGCCUGAUCCAGCCAUGCCGCGUGAGUGAUGAAGGCCUUAGGGUUGUAAAGCUCUUUCACCGAUGAAGAUAAUGACGGUAGUCGGAGAAGAAGCCCCGGCUAACUUCGUGCCAGCCGCCGCCGUAACAC
rnacentral:rRNA from 1 species